rnacentral:lncRNA from 10 species
AAUAAUCACGUAUUUUUCCAUUACUAUAAUAACCUUAAUCUCCUUAACCUUACCAAUUACUACCACCUUAAUCAACCCUCACAAGAACUUGGAUCCAUAUUAUGUAAAAAUAUCUACUGCAUGCACCUUCACCAUUAGCCUCAUUCCCACAACGUUUGUGUAUAUAGACCAAGAAGCCAUCAUCUCAAACUGACAUUCAAUAACAAUCCAAACCCUUAAACUCUCACUAAGCUUCAAACUAGACUACUUCUCCAUAAAAUUUAUCCCAGUAGCACUAUUUGUCACCUGAUCUCUUAUAGAAUUCUUGAUAUAUAAAAUCAGAUCCUAACAUUAAUCGAUUUUUCAAAUAUUUACUUAUUUUCCUCACCACAAUAUUAAUUCUAGUUACCACCAACAACAUUUUUUCAACUUUUUAUCAGAUGAGAAGGUGUAGGAAUUAUGUCUGGUUUUACUAACUGGCUGAUGACACAGCUGAGCAGAUGCUAAUACAGCAGCCCUCCAAGCGAUUCUGUAUAACCGCAUUGGCGAUAUUGGCUUCAUUUUAGCUAUAGCAUGAUUCCUCUCAUCUUACAAUACAUGAGAACCUCAACGAGCAUUUAUCCUAAAUCCUACCCCUGAUCUGCCAUUAAUUGGCCUUCUCUUAGCAGCAGCGGGAAAGUCAGCUCAAUUUGGCCUCUACCCCUGACCUCCUUCCGCCAUGGAAGGUCCAACCCCAGUCUCAGCCCUACUCCACUCUAGCGCUGUAGUUGUAGCAGGAAUUUUACUGCUUAUCCACUUCCACCCCUUAAUAGAAAAUAAUAUGUUAAUCCAAACCCUUAAAAUGUGUUUAGGGGCUAUUGCCACCUUAUUUACAGCAAUUUGUGCUCUAACACAAAAUGUGAUCAACAAAAUCGUAGCAUUCUCCACCUCAAGUCAACUAGGCCUUAUAAUAGCCACAAUGGGCAAGAAUCAACCACACCUAGCAUUCCUACACAUUUGCACCCACACCUUUUUUAAAGCUAUAUUAUUUAUAAGUUCAGGAUCCAUCAUCCAUAACCUCAACAAUAAACAAGAUACCUGAAAAAUAGGAGGACUAUUUAAGACUUUACCCCUUACUUCCUCCUCCCUUAUUAUUGGCAGCCUAGCACUUAUGGCUAUGCCUUUCCUCACAGGCUUUUACUCUAAAGAUCUCAUUAUCAAAAGUGCAAACACAUCCCUAUACCAACGCCUGAGCCCUCUCUACUACUCUUAUUGCCACCUCCCUAGCAAGUGUCUAUAAUAUCCAAAUUAUUUUCUUUGCUCUAAUAGGACAAUCCCACGUCCCAACCCUAAUCAGCAUUGACAAAAAUAACUCUUCCCUAAUAAACCCAAUUAAAUGCCUUAUAGUCGGCAGUAUCUUCGCUGGGUUUCUCAUCACCAAUAGCAUUAUCCCUACACUUCAUCCUCCCAAACAACAAUAUCACCUCACCUAAAACUCACAGCCCGAGGUGUAACCUUCCGAAGACUCUUACUGGCAAUGGAACUUAGUUUUAUAACUAAUAAUCUUAAGAUAACAUAUCCAUUACAAACAUUCAGCUUCUCCAAUAUAUAAGGAUUUUACUCAAUCACAAUUCACCGUACAACCCCUCACUCAAACCUACCUACAAGCCAAAAUCUGGCAUCACUUCUGCUAGACCUAAUUUGACUAGAAAAGUCCAUACCAAAGACAAUUUCACAGACGCAACUCAAAGCCUCCAUUACCAUAACUACUCAAAAAGGCCUAAUUAAAUUUUAUUUUUUCUUUUGUUAUUCCAUCCUUCUUAACUUUACUCUUAAUUAU